AGAACAUUGGGCAAUCACCAACCAUAUGAAGUUCAACAAGGGAAAAUGCUGGAUUCUGCACCUGGAAUGGGCUAACCCUGGAUGUAGGAUCUUCAGCACAGGAAGAAUAUGGACCUGCUGGAGUGAGUCCAGCUCUUGGCUAUUCAACUCAUCUUGAAGAAGAAAUGUCUCAGGAGCCCCAAAACCAUGAUCCUUACAUUCAAUUGUUUUUGCUAAGAGUGCAAGUGUCCAACACCACUGCUGUCUUGGAAGACAGUUUGACAUCCUGAGUGUUCUGAGUGUUG